UCCCUCUUCUCGCGUGAUUCUCUUCCUCGCGCCAAGCUAGGGCAGCGGCGACAACUCCCCACACCGCGCCUCCUUCUUCUUUCUUCUCUCUGGCCGGCGGCUUCUCCUUUGCUUUCACUGCCGCCGGCCGGCCAGCCAAUACAGUCCACUCUUUUCUUCUUCUCAGAUUCCAGAGGCGAGCGGCAGCAACAACUCGGCAAGGGGCAGCAACCUUCGGCGGCAGAUCCGACCAACUCCACCUUGCCGGAGGGGUUCUCCGGCAAGAACCUUCACCUCCGGAUGUUCUUUCUUCACUCCUGCCUUCUGGGGUUCAGGCGGCAGUAAGAAGAAGGCAGCAAAUGGAUUCAUCUCCAUUUUCGAUCAGGUUCCAGCAGAGGGGUUCUCGCUGGAGGAUUCGUUCAUUGUCCCCAUUUGUGUCGAAGAGUGCAGCGACCAGCAGAGUGAGCUACUGUCCAACGGUUUUAGGGGUUCCGAGCCGGGCCUUUCGUGUGAUGGCGAAGGGUUCAUAAGCAGGGUGUUGCACUUGGAAGAUCUGUUGACUUGACAAAGUUUGAUGGUUAUGACCAAUUGAUCGAGGAGUUAGAUCAGCUAUUUGAAUUCAAAGGAGAAUUGAUGGCUCCAAAUAAAAAUUGGAUGAUUGUAUUUACUGAUAAUGAGGAUGAUAUGAUGCUUGUUGGAGAUGACCCUUGGCAGGAAUUUUGUGCUAUGGUCCGUCAGAUUUUUAUAUACACAAAAGAGGAGGUCCAGAAGAUGGAUUCAAGUACCUUGAACCCAAAAAAUGAAGAUUGUCCUGAUAUGAACGAGAAUGUCAAGGAAACAAAAGGAAGUCAAUCUGCAUCAUCAUCUAAUUCAAAAAACUCAUAGGCUUAUCCUGCAAUGUCUAGUGAAAAUACUAAAGAAGUAUGACAAGAGAACAGAAGCACUUAUCAGGCAGCCCUUCAUCGAAAAGGUGUUGCAGCAGCCAUUCUUUACAACUGAUCUCCUAUACAAACUCGUGAAGGAGUGUGUGGCUAUGCUCGACCACCUCUUCCCCAGCAACAACCUGUCAAUUUCAGCAGAAUGCGAUGGACAAAAUGGAGUGCCAAAGUCUGCACAAUUAGGUGGGAGGGUUCCGGAGUUGGAGGAGAUUAAAUAUAUGCAGAGCUUAUACAUGAAGAGCACCGUAGCAGCGCUGCGGUCCUUGAAACAGAUUAGGAGCAAAAGUUUAACAGUCAAAAUAGAUUAGAAAAUCUCGUGUUAUAUUGUUCUACCUUUAUUUUAAUAGUGUUAUCAUUUUGUUAGUUGCUUAUGAAA